GUCACUAGACAUGACGUUUCGAUUAAUAACAAAUCUUUUGAACAUUUCGACAACUUCGUAAAUAUUCAUGGCAUAAUAUUGUAUAGUUUAAAUGUAAAUUACAAAAUGCUAAUAUAUUUUUCAUUCGAGACUCACCGACUUGACAAAAGUGGUCGUUUACUUUUAAUUAAGAUCGUUCAUAUAUAAAUCUUAUAAAAUCCUAGAACAUGGUUACCCUAUGCCGUUGAAGUUUUACGAGGAAAAAACCCCAGGCACUGAGGCAUCCGUUCAUUCUAUUUAAAUCCCGAUAGCAACAAGCCGACCUCAUCCAAUGUUCUAGAACCAUCUGCUUCUAACGCCCUUAGAUUGUAUUUGAAGGUUAAUUAUAAUAGACAAAAUAAUCAUUAUAUUUCGAGACAAAACAAUGUUUAUUAAUAUAUCUGUUAGUAAGUCUUUUCUACUCUAUUUUUGUUUGUUUGUUAUAAAAAUAAAUAAACAUAAAUAGUAGUAGAACAUAAUUCGCUCUCUUAAUAAA